GGUGCCCGAGCCCAACAGAGGUACAUUUCUCUUUUCAUCUGUCUUCAUCGCACUCGACCCCUUCGCAUUCAGUCAGCGGCAGCUCGAAAUCAUCUUCUUCUCCGACGAACUCCAUGGGUUACCAGAGACUGACAAAUGGAGGUGCAAGAAAAGAAAACCAUGUGCAGAGGUCUGUACACAUAUGUGUGUCUACGCUGCUUUGUUCAAUUGAUCACCAAUGAUUUUGUUCAAUUAAUAAAAUUUUCUAACUGCAAAGAAAGAACCAAUUUCUCCAAUGGGAUUUGGUAUAUGGGCUCGGAGAAACCAGCUUCUUUUCUCAUUUGGUUCUUCUAGGCCUCUGCUUAUGGCUAAUCAAGAACAAUUCCAAAGCACAAAGGUUUGGUUUGAGGUCAAAUUACUACAAUUAUAUUUGUUGGGUUUGCUGGCUACAUACACCACUGCCAAUCUAUCUAGAAGGUAAGACUAAUCUGUCUCCUUUUGAGGUGGGUUUUCAAUCAUUUUGGUUUAUAAAUAAGAAUGAUGCUGACCUACAUUUUGGAAGUUUUGAAAGAGUGAAAUUUAAAUUUUGGUAGUUGUUUCAUUCCUAGCAUAGAUUAUAUUUCACACUGAGAUUAAUGUUGGUAGCUAACAAGUUUCUACAAGAGUACUCCAACUCUCUUUCAUUCAUUUUUUUUGUAGUGUCCAUAAAGUUGAAUUCCAAGGCUUGUAUAGUCUUUUAAACCUCAAUAAUCUCAAGAAUUCUACUAAGUUCACAAAUUUGGUGAGUGAAAAUUAUCUAAACUAUUGAGUUGUUGGGCUGCAUUGGAUCAAGCAUAGGCUCCCUUGAAAAAUUGUUUUUGUUUUUUUACUUGUUUUCCUUUUUUAUGUGUUUUAAUGUGUAAUAACAUAACUAAAAUUAUUAGUUAGAAGGUAAGUAUAUAUAGAAUUUGAGGGUAAUAUUCUACACUUCCAAAAUGCAAAUAAAUUCAUUUAGAUGAGAUAGCUCCUUAAAUUUGUAAUUUCCAUUGUACAAUUUAUGAUUUGUAGUUAUACUGGUAAUAUAUAUGGAAAAAGAUGAAGCCCAUAAACACAACAUUUUAAGGUUUGAUAAUAUAUAUGGAUGAAGGGCAUGAGUACAAUGGCAGUUAUCUCAUAAGUUCUAACUUAUUUUAAUCAUUGGUAAGUAUACUAUGAUUAUAUCCUUGAUAAACUUGCAAUUAAUAAAACAAAGACUGACUAUAAUUAAUUUGCAUCUUACAAAACUUCAGGUUGAUUUUAUAGUUGAUCUGAGUUUACAUUAUUCUAUUAUUAACAAAGAUUAUAUUAGGCUUUUUUUGUCUUUUGUUUUUCUUAUAUUAGGCUAUUCUAAUAAUGACACUUUUUUUUUUCCUCUUUUUGUUUGUAUACUGUAUAAUAAAGUUUCUUAUAUUUUCCCCACCAACUUGUGUUACAAUUACAACUAUAUACCAUUUAAAUGUAUUUUAUUUUAUCUUUCUCACAAAACCUUCUAAGGUCAAUUCAAAUUUGUGUGAUUUAACACUUGAACCGAAUACUCAGUAACAAAACACUAUUAAUAAAUACAAAUAAAAAUGUAUGUACAUAUAUAUAUUGAUACUUACUUAAUUUUUGUUGAUUUCGGACUGGAGUUAAUACUCCUGGUGUUCUUCGCCAGUCCGUAACUAUACGGUCUAUUAUCUGAUUCAUAAUAAAAUAUAUGAGUGAUUAACUAUAUAUGCGAUUAAGAACCAGAAAUAUAAGAGCGAUUAACUAUGCGGUUAAGAAUAAUAAAAAAUAUAAGGUACAAUAUUUUAAUAAUAUUACCUCAGUGCGUGCCUCCAUUGAAUGAGUAAAUGUGCCUAACUGUGUACUAAAAAUAGAAGAAGAAAGAAUUAGUGAGAAAAAGAAAAUAUAAUAAAAUGAAUUAUGCAUUUUUUAAAAUAGUAUAAACAGAACUCUAAACUAAUUUUUUUUGUCAAAAUAAAACUUGAUAAUAAUAUAAUAUAGAAGUAUUAUGACAAAACUGGUUGUGUCAUAAUAUAUAAUGUUUAAUACCAAUUAAUUGAUGUUGGUGGGAUAUUCUAUAAGACCAAAUACAACUUAGCCAACUACUUAUAAUAAUAUACAGGGAUGGCAAUUAUACCCGCGGGUUCGAGUACCCACGAGUACGGAAGUUGACUUUCGGGGGGUGGGAGUGGGUAUGGGUUUAAAGAUUUAUUCCUAAGUUGGAAACGGGGUGAGGGCGGAGGCGGGGCAGGGGAAUAGAUACUCGCCCUGAACCCGCACUACUACAAAAUACACUUUUAGUGUCGAUUCGAAAAUCACUAAAUUUUAAAAACUGACACUAUAGAACCCUCUAUGUUUUAAGUGUCAGUUUUAAACCGACACUUAUAAAUCAUGAAUAGUGUCGGUUAGUAGUGAGUCACUAAAAAAAUAACCGAUAUUUAAAAGAGAAAUACUAGCUUAAAUGUAAUCUCUUAAGUCUCGGUUCAUAACCGUUACUUAAGAGAAAGCUAUUUUGAAAAGAAAACAACGAGACCCAAACCCCUUUCAUCUCUCUCGUCUCUCUCAUUUUCUUUCUCAGACCAAACCAAAAUCCCUAACCCCACCACCGGUUCUCACCGUCUCACUACAUGUGCCUUAGCCCCCGUCUCCCUCUCGUUGACCCACCAUGAACGACCCCCUUCUCCAUAUCAGUAUAUAUUUAUUAUAUAUUAAAUUUUGUAGAAUUUGUAGUUUCAUUGGGUGGGUUUAAGCUCACAACAUUUUCGUGUACAAUACCGUUACCGAUUCCGUCUAAGCUCAGAAAAGGCACUUGUUGUUGAGGGAUGUGAAUGAGGAUAUGAUGUUCGACAUUGUACAAUCUAUUGCUCGGUUGCAAGAAGCUUUCUUCUUCACUGAUGAAAUGAAGUCUAUGGCUUGGUUCUUGAUAUUUUAGGUAAAGAACAGAAGAUAGGAGUGAAGCAUUUUAAGCCCUAUAAAGCCCUUGGGAUUUGGUUUUACUGGCAGGAAUAAUGAAGAUUGCUAUUGGUGUUGCAGAACUUCUCACUAUUGUGCCAAAUAUGAUAGACAAUGUUCCACUAUUAGUCUUCAUGUUCUCAUUAGUGUUUGUAUGGUAAUUAAGAAUGUAAUUUUGAACCACCAACAUUUUAUGGAAUUUUAAUUAUUGUAUAACAUUUGUAUACUAUUUGAUAAUAGAAAUGUUGAUAUUAAUUUUGUUA